UACGUAGGGGGCAAGCGUUGUCCGGAUUUAUUGGGCGUAAAGCGCGUGUAGGCGGCCAGGUAGGUCCGUUGUGAAAACUCGAGGCUCAACCUCGAGACGUCGACGGAAACCCUCUGGCUAGAGUUCGGGAGAGGAGAGUGGAAUUCCCGGUGUAGCGGUGAAAUGCGCAGAUAUCGGGAAGAACACCCGUGGCGAAGGCGGCUCUCUGGAACGAUACUGACGCUGAGACGCGAAAGCGUGGGGAGCGAACAGGAUUAGAUACCCUGGUAGUCCACGCCGUAAACGAUGGGUGCUAGGUGUAGGCGGUGUCGACUCCGUCUGUGCCGAAGCUAACGCAUUAAGCACCCCGCCUGGGGAGUACGGCCGCAAGGCUAAA
rnacentral:rRNA from 1 species